UACGGAGGGGACUAGCGUUGUUCGGAAUUACUGGGCGCAAAGCGCACGUAGGCGGAUUUGUAAGUCAGGGGUGAAAUCCCGGGGCUCAACCUCGGAACUGCCUUUGAUACUGCAAAUCUCGAGUCCGGAAGAGGUGAGUGGAAUUCCUAGUGUAGAGGUGAAAUUCGUAGAUAUUAGGAAGAACACCAGUGGCGAAGGCGGCUCACUGGUCCGGUACUGACGCUCAGGGACGAAAGCUAGGGGAGCGAAUGGG
rnacentral:rRNA from 1 species